rnacentral:rRNA from 1 species
GAUGAACGCUGGCGGCGUGCUUAACACAUGCAAGUCGAACGGCAAGGCCCAAGCUUGCUUGGGUACUCGAGUGGCGAACGGGUGAGUAACACGAGGGUGAUCUGCUCUGCACUUUGGGAUAAGCCAGGGAAACUGGGCCUACUCUCGGAUAGGACGCUGGCUAGGAUGCCAUUGAGGAAAGCUUCUUCGGUGUGGGAUGAGAUCGCGGCCUAUCAGCUUGUUGGAGGGGUAAUGGCAUACCCAGGCGUCGGCGGGUAGCCGGCCUGAGAGGGUGUACGGCCACAUUGGGACUGAGAUACGGCCCAGACUCCGACGGGAGGCAGCAGGGGGGAAUAUUGCACAAUGGGUGCAAGCCUGAUGCAGCGACGCCUCGGGUUGGAUGACGGUCUUCUUGUUAUAGACUCCCUUCGCGAGGGACGAAGCGUGUUUUGGACGGAACCUGGAGAUGAAGCACCGGCUAACUACGG